CCCCAGUGUCCUCAAGACUCUUCCAAUGGACGAACCUCUACAGUGCCAUCCGAACUCCACUGUCGGUCGACCCUCUACCAGAUCCCUCAUAAAAUUGGAUCUUUCUGGUAGAUAGUCCUCAGACGAGCUUCUACAUUAGGCAAAAUACAGAUGGACUUCUCUAGCAAUCGGACUCCUGCCAGACUUCUCCAACAGAAAGUCUCCGUCCGAGCUUCUACAGU
rnacentral:lncRNA from 1 species